GCUGAUGCUGGAAUGCUUUUCUCAGGACUGGCUUCCUGCCAUCUUCCUCCACUUCAAUCUCACAGGUUUAGAGCAGGCAGUGACAUCUUCUUUCUGAUGCAACUGAAAUGAUCUUAAGAUAGAGGCUGCAUUUCAGCAAAAGUACCAGACCUCGAAAGAAGACAGGGCAUACCUAGCAUCAUUUGGAAG
ensembl:lncRNA novel transcript